GAUGAACGCUGGCGGCGUGCUUAACACAUGCAAGUCGAACGGCGACGCCGUAGCUUGUUCUGCUGGAUCAGUGGCGAACGGGUGCGUAACACGUGAGCAACCUGCCCCUGAUUUUCGGAUAAGCGCUGGAAACGGCGCCUAAUACUGGAUACGAUACGCCAUGGCGUCUUCAGCAGAUGAAAUGCACAUCGGUCGGGGAUGAGUUGGCGGGCUAUCGGCUUGUUGGUGGGCUAGCGGAUGACCCAGGCGUCGACGGGUAGCCGGCCUGGGAGGGUGGCCGGCGUCGCUGGGACUGAGGGACGGCGCAGUCGCGUACGGGGGGCAGCAGGGGGAAAUAUUGCACAAUGAGCGAGCGCCUGAUGCGGCGGCGCCGCGUGAGGGACGACGGCCUGCGGGUAAUGAACCUCUUUUGGCUGGGAAGAAGCGAAAGUGACGGUACCUAAAGAAAAAGCGCCGGCUAACUACGUG
rnacentral:rRNA from 1 species